CUGGGUGGAUUAGUGGCGAACGGGUGAGUAACACGUGAGUAACCUGCCCCUGACUCUGGGAUAAGCGUUGGAAACGACGUCUAAUACUGGAUAUGACUGCCGGCCGCAUGGUCUGGUGGUGGAAAGAUUUUUUGGUUGGGGAUGGACUCGCGGCCUAUCAGCUUGUUGGUGAGGUAAUGGCUCACCAAGGCGACGACGGGUAGCCGGCCUGAGAGGGUGACCGGCCACACUGGGACUGAGACACGGCCCAGACUCCUACGGGAGGCAGCAGUGGGGAAUAUUGCACAAUGGGCGAAAGCCUGAUGCAGCAACGCCGCGUGAGGGAUGACGGCCUUCGGGUUGUAAACCUCUUUUAGUAGGGAAGAAGCGUAAGUGACGGUACCUGCAGAAAAAGCACCGGCUAACUACGUGCCAGCAGCCGCGGUAAUACGUAGGGUGCAAGCGUUGUCCGGAAUUAUUGGGCGUAAAGAGCUCGUAGGCGGUUUGUCGCGUCUGCUGUGAAAUCCCGAGGCUCAACCUCGGGCUUGCAGUGGGUACGGGCAGACUAGAGUGCGGUAGGGGAGAUUGGAAUUCCUGGUGUAGCGGUGGAAUGCGCAGAUAUCAGGAGGAACACCGAUGGCGAAGGCAGAUCUCUGGGCCGUAACUGACGCUGAGGAGCGAAAGCGUGGGGAGCGAACAGGAUUAGAUACCCUGGUAGUCCACGCCGUAAACGUUGGGCGCUAGAUGUAGGGACCUUUCCACGGUUUCUGUGUCGUAGCUAACGCAUUAAGCGCCCCGCCUGGGGAGUACGGCCGCAAGGCUAAAACUCAAAGGAAUUGACGGGGGCCCGCACAAGCGGCGGAGCAUGCGGAUUAAUUCGAUGCAACGCGAAGAACCUUACCAAGGCUUGACAUACACCGGAAACGGCCAGAGAUGGUUGCCCCCUUGUGGUCGGUGUACAGGUGGUGCAUGGUUGUCGUCAGCUCGUGUCGUGAGAUGUUGGGUUAAGUCCCGCAACGAGCGCAACCCUCGUUCUAUGUUGCCAGCGCGUUAUGGCGGGGACUCAUAGGAGACUGCCGGGGUCAACUCGGAGGAAGGUGGGGAUGACGUCAAAUCAUCAUGCCCCUUAUGUCUUGGGCUUCACGCAUGCUACAAUGGCCGGUACAAAGGGCUGCGAUACCGUAAGGUGGAGCGAAUCCCAAAAAGCCGGUCUCAGUUCGGAUUGAGGUCUGCAACUCGACCUCAUGAAGUCGGAGUCGCUAGUAAUCGCAGAUCAGCAACGCUGCGGUGAAUACGUUCCCGGGCCUUGUACACACCGCCCGUCAAGUCAUGAAAGUCGGUAACACCCGAAGCCGGUGGCCUAACCCUUGUGGAAGGAGCCGUCGAAGGUGGGAUCGGUGA
rnacentral:rRNA from 1 species